rnacentral:misc_RNA from 1 species
GUAGGUGAACCUGCGGAAGGAUCAUUAAUGAAUAUAACACCGGAGGGAGGAAUUCGGGGGACAAAGCUGUCGCUGGCCUUUAAUGAGGCAUGUGCACGCUCCCCGAGGAACUCUCGACGUCUUUCAUCUUCUCACCUGUGCACCUCGAUGUAGGUCGGCAUGGUUUUGGUAAAACGAAAUCAUGCGAGUGCCUUUCCCUGCGGGGGGAGGUCGAGUACCUAUGUAUUAAAAAUACAUCUUCGUGUAGAAAGUCUUUGAAUGUUUACGAUCAUAGAGCCGCGACUUCUAGGAGACGCGGGUCUUUGAGAUAAAAGUUAUUACAACUUUCAGCAAUGGAUCUCUUGGCUCUC